CGAUGAUCGGAGCUAAAAACGAUGUCGUUUAUGUAUGAUAUGUUUGUUUUGCAGUCGUUUCCGAGGGCCGUCUGGUUGGACGGAAGUGGGAGGCAGCUGAUCCAAUGGCCUGUGGAGGAGAUUUGAUGAUAAUUUAUUUUCAUCCAUCUGGAACAUGCAGGAGAGUAUCUUGCUUCUGGUGCUGUUGGUGGUGAGCUGAUAAUAUGGAAGCAGAACAAAAUACUGACUCUGGUCAAGUAUGGAAGGUCCUCAAGACACUAUCGUACGGCCUUUCGUUUCUAACAUAUAACAUAUAUGUUGAUAUUGAUAUGUAAGCAAUAUACUAUCAGAUAAGCACUA